rnacentral:sRNA from 1 species
UAUAAUAAGUCCAUCAAUAGAUAUACUGCAUGGCUGCUUGCAGACAAGGCAGUAUAUCUAUUAGAUGGGCAAACAGACAUGAGCAAGUAAAUAAGUUCGCAAAGCUGAACUUAUCGGAUUGCGAAUGGCUGUCAGAAUUUUCGCGAGUGCGCAAGCACGGAGAAAAUUCUGUUAUUAUA